AACACAAACCGAUUUGUUGCAUCACACAGUUGGAGCUGAAAUCAGCACAUAGAAACAAAGUGCAGAUUUAUCCCACCUUUAGGGCAAGGCUGAAGGUGAGUUUGCUCCAGUUGUUUCUCUCCUCCGUCAUUUGCAGCAGCUGAGCCUCAAGGCGAGUCCGGAGCAGCUCAUAAAGCUCAUGACUGACUCUGAGUCUGUGUGUGUCUGUAUGAGGGCUUCAGCCAGCCGAUGAUGAGCGAGCCCCGCCUUCUCACAAACCAAGCUGCUGCAGGGAGGACUUGAUGCGGUGGAUUUCCUCAGUGAGCCGGCGGUCCAAACUCUUCUGUGCGACUGUCUCGGUGUGUAAAGCCUUUAGGCGCCGUGGAAUUCGAUCCAGCAACACCUGGUAGCGUUGUCUGCAGAAACAUUUGAAGGA